CUGGUUUGAUCCUGCCAGUAAUUAUAUGCUUGUAUUAAAGAUUAAGCCAUGCAUGUAUAAGUACACACCUUUAUACGGUGAGACCGCGAAUGGCUCAUUAAAUCAGCUAUUAUUUCUUAGAUCUUACAAUUUACUUGGAUAACUGUAGUAAUUCUAGAGCUAAUACAUUUCAAAGUGCCUUAGUCUUCGGACUCAAGUGCGGAUUUAUUAGAACAAAACCAACCAGUUUCGGCUGUUUGUUUGUAAACUCUGGAUAACUUAUCAGAUCGCAUGGCCUUGUGCCGGCGACAUAUCUUUCAAGUGGCUGACCUAUCAACUGACGUUGGUGAGUUAUUUGCUCACCAUGGUGUUGACGGGUAACGGGGAAUCAGGGUUCGAUACCGGAGAGGGAGCCUUAGAAACGGCUACCACAUCUAAGGAAGGCAGCAGGCGCGCAAAUUACCCACUCUCAGCUAGAGGAGGUAGUAACGAUAAAUAACAAUGCAGGACUCUUUACGAGGCUCUGCAAUUGGAAUGAGUACAAUCUAAAUCCUUUAACGAGUACCAAUUGGAGGGCAAGUCUGGUGCCAGCAGCCGCGGUAAUUCCAGCUCCAAUAGCGUAUAUUAAAUUUGUUGAAGUUAAAAAGCUCGUAGUUGGAUCUCAGGCCAGAUGUGUCGGUGUGGUCAAUGGCCAUCUCCGUUCAUAUUUGCCUUUUUUAGCUGUUUGUCUUUUUAUUGUUCUCUUCACUGAGUGCUUUAAGAAGCUCGGCACGUUUACCUUGAAAAAAUCAGAGUGCUUAAUGCAGGCCUUUGUGCUUGUAUGUUGUUGCAUGGAAUAAUGGAAUAGGACUUCGGUUCUAUUUUGUUGGUUUUCGGUUCUGAAGUAAUGAAUAAUAGAGACAGUCGGGGGCAUUUCUAUGGCUGUGUUAGAGGUGAAAUUCUGAGAUCGCAGCCCGAGAAACUAUUGCGAAAGCAUUUGCCAAGCAUGUCUUCAUUAAUCAAGAACGAAAGUCAGAGGUUCGAAGACGAUCAGAUACCGUCCUAGUUCUGACCUUAAACGAUGUAGACUAAUAAUCAGAGGUGGUUAUAUUUUUAUUAAUCCUUCUGGCUGUUCCUGGGAAACCUUUUAGUGGUAUUCUUGGGGGAAUAUGACGACAACGUUGNNNCUUAAAGGAAUUGACGGAAGGGCACCACCAGGAGUGGAGCCUGCGGCUUAAUUUGACUCAACACGGGGAAACUCACCCGGUCCGGACACUGUUAGGAUGGACAGAUUGAUAGCUCUUUCUUGAUUCAGUGGGUGGUGGUGCAUGGCCGUUCUUAGUUGGUGGAGUGAUUUGUCUGGUUAAUUCCGAUAACGAACGAGACUCUGUCCUGCUAAAUAGUUCAGUAGCAUCGGCUGCUUCAUUGUGGCUACAGCUUCUGCUAACUUCUUAGAGGGAUUCGCGGNNNNNNNNNNNNNNNNNNNNNNNNNNNNNNNNNNNNNNNNNNNNNNNNNNNNNNNNNNNNNNNNNNCGCGCUACAUUGACAGUAUUAACAAGUAAUAACACCUGGACUGAAAAGUUCGGGAAAUCUUUGAAUUACUGUCUCCACAGGGAUUGAGGUUUGUAACUAUCCCUCAUGAACGAGGAAUUCCCAGUAGGCGCAAGUCAUCAGCUUGCGUCGAUUACGUCCCUGCCCUUUGUACACACCGCCCGUCGCUACUACCGAUUGAGUGGAUUAGUGAGGCCCUCGGAUCGAAGUUUGAGUGGAAUUUUUUCAUUCAUACAUUGAAAAGUGGGUCAAACUUGUUCAUUUAGAGGAAGUAAAAGUCGUAACAAGGUUUCCGUAGGUGAACCUGCAGAUGGAUCAAGGUGAACCUGCANAUGGAUCAAGGUGAACCUGC
rnacentral:rRNA from 1 species